ACGGGGCGCAGCAGGCACGAAACCUCCGCAAUGUGAGCAAUCACGACGGGGGGACCCCAAGUGCCAUUCUUAACGGGAUGGCUUUUCUUGAGUGUAAAAAGCUCUUGGAAUAAGAGCUGGGCAAGACCGGUGCCAGCCGCCGCGGUAACACCGGCAGCUCUAGUGGUAGCCAUUUUUAUUGGGCCUAAAGCGUUCGUAGCCGGUUUAAUAAGUCUCUGGUGAAAUCCUACAGCUUAACUGUGGGAAUUGCUGGAGAUACUAUUAGACUUGAGGUCGGGAGAGGUUAGAGGUACUCCCAGGGUAGGGGUGAAAUCCUGUAAUCCUGGGAGGACCACCUGUGGCGAAGGCGUCUAACUGGAACGAACCUGACGGUGAGGGACGAAAGCUAGGGGCGCGAACCGGAUUAGAUACCCGGGUAGUCCUAGCCGUAAACGAUGCGGACUUGGUGUUAGGAUGGCUUUGAGCCGCCCUAGUGCCGAAGGGAAGCUGUUAAGUCCGCCGCCU
rnacentral:rRNA from 1 species